AGUCGAGCGCGAAUGGAGGAUCCUAGUUGAGUGGCGCGGGGUGCGUAACACGUGGAUAAUCUGCCUGGGUGUCUGGGAUAACCAGUCGAAAGACUGGCUAAUACCGGAUAAGACCACGGUCUCCUCGGAGGCUGUGAGAAAAGGUGGCCUCUGUAUACAAGCUAUCACAUCCAGAUGAGUCCGCGGCCCAUCAGCUAGUUGGAGGGGUAAUGGCCCACCAAGGCGACGACGGGUAGCUGGUCUGAGAGGACGAUCUGCCACACUGGAACUGACACACGGUCCAGACUCCUACGGGAGGCAGCAUUGGGGAAUUUUGCGCAAUGGGCGAAAGCCUGACGCAGCGACGCCGCGUGUGGGAUGAAGGUCUUCGGAUUGUAAAGCACUUUCGACCGGGGCGAAAACCCGCAGCCCAUCACGCUGACGCUUGACGGUACCGGGAGAAGAAGCACCGGCUAACUCUGUGCCAGCAGCCGCGGUAAUACAGAGGGUGCAAGCGUUGUUCGGAAUUAUUGGGCGUAAAGCGCGUGUAGGCGGCUUUGCAAGUCGGGUGUGAAAGCCCUCAGCUCAACUGAGGAAGUGCGCCCGAAACUGCAGAGCUUGAGUGCCGGAGAGGGUGGCGGAAUUCCCCAAGUAGAGGUGAAAUUCGUAGAUAUGAAUGAGGAACAGCGGUGGCGAAGGCGGCCACCUGGACUGAUAACUGACGCUGAGACGCGAAAGCGUGAAGAGCAAACAGGAUUAGAUACCCUGGUAGUCCACGCCGUAAACGAUGAGAACUAGGUGUCGUGGGUGUUGACCCCCGCGCUGCCGUAUCUAACGCAUUAAGUUCUCCGCCUGGGAAGUACGGUCACAAGACUAAGACUCAGACGAAUACACGGGGGCCCGCACAAGCAUUGGAACAUGUGGUUUAAUUCGACGCAACGCGCACAAGCUUACCUGGUCUUGACAUCCUCGGAAACUUUCAGAGAUGAUAGGAUGCCCGACAGAGAACCUGAGAGACAUGUGCUGCAUGCCUGUCGUCAGCUCAUGUCUGAGAUGAUGGGCUAAAGUCACGCAACCAGCUGCAACCCUCGUCCUUUAGUAGCCGCCGCAAGAUGAUCUCUAGAGGGCAAACCGGUGGAAAACCGGAGGAAGGUGGGGAUGACGUCAAGUCCUCAUGGCCUUUAUCACCAGUCAUACACACGUGCUACAAUAGCCGGUACAAAGCGUGAGCAACUCGCGAGAGGGAAAUAAUCGCAUAAAUCCGGUCUCAGUUCAGCAAGGAGUCUGCAACUAGACUCCAUGAAGGCGGAAUCGGUAGUAGAACAGAUCAGCACGACGCGGCGAAUACGUUCCCACGCCUCCCCACACCCCCUGUCACACCAUGGGACUGAAGUAUCCACAAGUCAUCUCACCAAGAGCUCCCACGCUGAUCGGUA
rnacentral:rRNA from 1 species